UGAUUUCAGAAGCUUUUAUUGAUUUAUCUUUGUUCUCAGCUUGAAGACAGAAUAACAUUCAUAUUUAAUGAUAUUUGUAGUAUAUUUGCUAAUUCUCACCAAUCACUAACUGGCGUAUCUUUACUCAUUUCUCUGGAUUAUCAUGAAUUCUGCCAAUCCCUACUUACUAAUGCCUUUGUUUGUUUCUCUAUUUUACAUUUUUUAAUGACUUACUGUUCAGUGUUAUCAUUUUACUGUUCAUUCCUUACUGUGAAGCAAUUUGGUGUACCCCCUGGCUUUAAACAUGUUAUAUAGUAAAAUUGCUUUGUAUUGUACAUAUAUAAAUAUAUAUAUAUGUGUGUGUGUGUGUGUGAACAUAAGACUGUUAAGGUGCUAUGAAUAAUUUGCAAAAAAUAAUUUACAUUUCUUAACAAAUAUUUCUGUCAAAGUGUGAACUAAUAAAUGAGCAGAAAUGUUUCCAGCAGCUGCUUUACUUUAACUAUGUUUCAUCAUUUUCAUCAUCUAUACUUAGAUUAAAUCUAUGAAAAUCACUGUGUGAAUUAAGAAACCUACGAGACAAGAUGACAGACAGUCACUGCUUCUAAACAGUGUAGUGCAGUUGGAAUAUACAAACUACAGUGGGAGGACUCAUUAAAGAUUAAUAGCUUAUACAUGUUUAUUUGAAAACACUGGAGGACACAGCAGAGUUCCCUGUGGUGGUGAAAGAAGAAGAAAAAAGAAAAGAAGAAGAAAAGAAUUAAUAAUGAAUAAUGGGCAAAAAACACUAGGGUCUUGUAAACCUACGAGACAAGAUGACAGACAGUCACUGCUUCUAAACACUGUGGUGCAGCUGGAAUAUACAAACUACAGUGGGAGGACUCAUUAAAGAUUAAUAGCUUAUACAUGUUUAUUUGAAAACACUGGAGGACACAACAGAGUUCCCUGUGGUGGUGAAAGAAGAAGAAAAAAGAAAAAAAAGAAGAAAAGAAUUAAUAAUGAAUAAUGGGCAAAAAACACUAGGGUCUUGUGUCCUACAGCUUUUGUUUCAUCGUUUCCAUCAUCAUCAUUUAGAAAACAUUGGAGGACACAGCAGAGUUCCCUGUGGUGGUGAAAGAGAGAAGGUGACAUGAAAAGAAAAAGAAGAAGCACCAUUAGACAGAUAUACACAGUGUCUUUUUAUUAUCUAUAUUAUAAUCUUCACACUUCUGCUAGAAAGUCACUGUUGGUUUUUCUAAACUUUG
ensembl:lncRNA